AAAGCGCACGUAGGCGGACUGGAAAGUCAGAGGUGAAAUCCCAGGGCUCAACCUUGGAACUGCCUUUGAAACUCCCAGUCUUGAGGUCGAGAGAGGUGAGUGGAAUUCCGAGUGUAGAGGUGAAAUUCGUAGAUAUUCGGAGGAACACCAGUGGCGAAGGCGGCUCACUGGCUCGAUACUGACGCUGAGGUGCGAAAGCGUGGGGAGCAAACAGGAUUAGAUACCCCGGU
rnacentral:rRNA from 1 species